CCUACGGGAGGCAGCAGUGGGGAAUAUUGCACAAUGGGGGAAACCCUGAUGCAGCGACGCCGCGUGAGUGAAGAAGUACUUCGUUAUGUAAAGCUCUAUCAGCAGGGAAGAAAAUGACGGUACCUGAGUCAGAAGCCCCGGCUAACUACGUGCCAGCAGCCGCGGUAAUACGUAGGGGGCAAGUGUUAUCCGGAUUUACUGGGUGUAAAGGGAGCGUAGACGGCAGUGCAAGUCUGGAGUGAAAGGCGGGGGCUCAACCCGCGGACUGCUCUGGAAACUGGACGGCUGGAGUGCAGGAGAGGGAAGUGGAAUUCCUAGUGUAGCGGUGAAAUGCGUAGAUAUUAGGAGGAACACCAGUGGCGAAGGCGGCUUACUGGACUGUAACUGACGUUGAGGCGCGAAAGCGUGGGGAGCAAACAGGAUUAGAUACCCGUGUAGUC
rnacentral:rRNA from 1 species